UUAAGCGACUAAGCGUACACGGUGGAUGCCCUGGCAGUCAGAGGCGAUGAAGGACGUGCUAAUCUGCGAAAAGCGUCGGUAAGGUGAUAUGAACCGUUAUAACCGGCGAUGUCCGAAUGGGGAAACCCAGUGCAAUUCGUUGCACUAUCGUUAACUGAAUACAUAGGUUAACGAGGCGAACCGGGGGAACUGAAACAUCUAAGUACCCCGAGGAAAAGAAAUCAACCGAGAUUCCCCCAGUAGCGGCGAGCGAACGGGGAGCAGCCCAGAGUCUGAAUCAGCUUGUGUGUUAGUGGAACGGUCUGGAAAGUCCGACGGUACAGGGUGAUAGUCCCGUACACCAAAAUGCACAGGCUGUGAACUCGAAGAGUAGGGCGGGACACGUGGUAUCCUGUCUGAAUAUGGGGGGACCAUCCUCCAAGGCUAAAUACUCCUGACUGACCGAUAGUGAACCAGUACCGUGAGGGAAAGGCGAAAAGAACCCCGGCGAGGGGAGUGAAAAAGAACCUGAAACCGUGUACGUACAAGCAGUGGGAGCACCUUCGGGUGUGACUGCGUACCUUUUGUAUAAUGGGUCAGCGACUUAUAUUCUGUAGCAAGGUUAACCGUAUAGGGGAGCCGCAGGGAAACCGAGUCUUAACUGGGCGUUAAGUUGCAGGGUAUAGACCCGAAACCCGGUGAUCUAGCCAUGGGCAGGUUGAAGGUUGGGUAACACUAACUGGAGGACCGAACCGACUAAUGUUGAAAAAUUAGCGGAUGACUUGUGGCUGGGGGUGAAAGGCCAAUCAAACCGGGAGAUAGCUGGUUCUCCCCGAAAGCUAUUUAGGUAGCGCCUCGUGAACUCAUCUUCGGGGGUAGAGCACUGUUUCGGCUAGGGGGUCAUCCCGACUUACCAACCCGAUGCAAACUACGAAUACCGAAGAAUGUUAUCACGGGAGACACACGGCGGGUGCUAACGUCCGUCGUGAAGAGGGAAACAACCCAGACCGCCAGCUAAGGUCCCAAAGUCAUGGUUAAGUGGGAAACGAUGUGGGAAGGCACAGACAGCCAGGAUGUUGGCUUAGAAGCAGCCAUCAUUUAAAGAAAGCGUAAUAGCUCACUGGUCGAGUCGGCCUGCGCGGAAGAUGUAACGGGGCUAAACCAUGCACCGAAGCUGCGGCAGCGACACUAUGUGUUGUUGGGUAGGGGAGCGUUCUGUAAGCCUGCGAAGGUGUGCUGUGAGGCAUGCUGGAGGUAUCAGAAGUGCGAAUGCUGACAUAAGUAACGAUAAAGCGGGUGAAAAGCCCGCUCGCCGGAAGACCAAGGGUUCCUGUCCAACGUUAAUCGGGGCAGGGUGAGUCGACCCCUAAGGCGAGGCCGAAAGGCGUAGUCGAUGGGAAACAGGUUAAUAUUCCUGUACUUGGUGUUACUGCGAAGGGGGGACGGAGAAGGCUAUGUUAGCCGGGCGACGGUUGUCCCGGUUUAAGCAUGUAGGCUGGUUGUCCAGGCAAAUCCGGAUAAUCAAGGCUGAGGUGUGAUGACGAGGCACUACGGUGCUGAAGUAACAAAUGCCCUGCUUCCAGGAAAAGCCUCUAAGCAUCAGGUAACAUUAAAUCGUACCCCAAACCGACACAGGUGGUCAGGUAGAGAAUACCAAGGCGCUUGAGAGAACUCGGGUGAAGGAACUAGGCAAAAUGGUGCCGUAACUUCGGGAGAAGGCACGCUGGUGUGUAGGUGAAGUCCCUGCGGAUGGAGCUGAGACCAGUCGAAGAUACCAGCUGGCUGCAACUGUUUAUUAAAAACACAGCACUGUGCAAACACGAAAGUGGACGUAUACGGUGUGACGCCUGCCCGGUGCCGGAAGGUUAAUUGAUGGGGUUAUCCGUAAGGAGAAGCUCUUGAUCGAAGCCCCGGUAAACGGCGGCCGUAACUAUAACGGUCCUAAGGUAGCGAAAUUCCUUGUCGGGUAAGUUCCGACCUGCACGAAUGGCGUAAUGAUGGCCAGGCUGUCUCCACCCGAGACUCAGUGAAAUUGAACUCGCUGUGAAGAUGCAGUGUACCCGCGGCAAGACGGAAAGACCCCGUGAACCUUUACUAUAGCUUGACACUGAACAUUGAGCCUUGAUGUGUAGGAUAGGUGGGAGGCUUUGAAGCGUGGACGCCAGUCUGCGUGGAGCCAACCUUGAAAUACCACCCUUUAAUGUUUGAUGUUCUAACGUUGGCCCCUGACCGGGGUUGCGGACAGUGUCUGGUGGGUAGUUUGACUGGGGCGGUCUCCUCCCAAAGCGUAACGGAGGAGCACGAAGGUUAGCUAAUCCUGGUCGGACAUCAGGAGGUUAGUGCAAUGGCAUAAGCUAGCUUGACUGCGAGCGUGACGGCGCGAGCAGGUGCGAAAGCAGGUCAUAGUGAUCCGGUGGUUCUGAAUGGAAGGGCCAUCGCUCAACGGAUAAAAGGUACUCCGGGGAUAACAGGCUGAUACCGCCCAAGAGUUCAUAUCGACGGCGGUGUUUGGCACCUCGAUGUCGGCUCAUCACAUCCUGGGGCUGAAGUAGGUCCCAAGGGUAUGGCUGUUCGCCAUUUAAAGUGGUACGCGAGCUGGGUUUAGAACGUCGUGAGACAGUUCGGUCCCUAUCUGCCGUGGGCGCUGGAGAAUUGAGGGGGGCUGCUCCUAGUACGAGAGGACCGGAGUGGACGCAUCACUGGUGUUCGGGUUGUCAUGCCAAUGGCACUGCCCGGUAGCUAAAUGCGGAAGAGAUAAGUGCUGAAAGCAUCUAAGCACGAAACUUGCCCCGAGAUGAGUUCUCCCUGAGACUUUAAGUCUCCUGAAGGAACGUUAAAGACGAUGACGUUGAUAGGCCGGGUGUGUAAGCGCAGCGAUGCGUUGAGCUAACCGGUACUAAUGAACCGUGAGGCUUAACCUU
rnacentral:rRNA from 1 species